rnacentral:tRNA from 1 species
GGGCCUGUAGCUCAGUUGGUUAGAGCAGCCGGCUCAUAACCGGCUGGUCGGAGGUUCGAGUCCUCCCGGGCCCA